UUAGUGGCGGACGGGUGAGUAACGCGUGGGGAACCUGCCCUGUACAGGGGGAUAACACUUAGAAAUAGGUGCUAAUAACCGCAUAAGCGCACAGUAUCGCAUGAUACAGUGUGAAAAACUCCGGUGGUACAGGAUGGACCCGCGUCUGAUUAGCUGGUUGGCGGGGUAACGGCCCACCAAGGCGACGAUCAGUAGCCGGCUGAGAGGGUGAACGGCCACAUUGGGACUGAGACACGGCCCAAACUCCUACGGGAGGCAGCAG
rnacentral:rRNA from 1 species